AUUGAACGCUGGCGGCAGGCCUAACACAUGCAAGUCGAGCGGAGGACGGGAGCUUGCUCCUGGUAUCAGCGGCGGACGGGUGAGGAAUGCCAAGGAAUCUGCAUGCUAGUGUUGGGUAACGGCCGGAAACGGGCGCUAAUAGCUCAUACCGCCUGCGGGAUAAAGUGGGGAUCCUGCGGGCCUCACACUUUGCGAUUACACGAGGUCGGAUUAGCUAGUUGGUGGUGUAAAGGCCUACCAAGGCGACGAUCCGUAGCUGGUCUGUGAGGAUGAUCAGUCACACUGGAACUGAGACACGGUCCAGACUCCUACGGGAGGCAGCAGUGGGGAAUAUUGGACAAUGGGCGAAAGCCUGAUCCAGCAAUGCCGCGUGUGUGAAGAAGGUCUUCGGAUUGUAAAGCACUUUAAGUUGGGAGGAAGGGCAGUAAGUUAAUAACUUGCUGUUUUGACGGUACCCACAGAAUAAGCACCGGCUAACUUCGUG
rnacentral:rRNA from 1 species